rnacentral:rRNA from 1 species
UACGUAGGGACCAAGCGUUGUUCGGAUUUACUGGGCGUAAAGGGCGCGUAGGCGGCAUGACAAGUCACUUGUGAAAUCUCCGGGCUUAACUCGGAACGGUCAAGUGAUACUGUCGCGCUAGAGUGCGGAAGGGGCAAUCAGAAUUCUUGGUGUAGCGGUGAAAUGCGUAGAUAUCAGGAGGAACAUCUGUGGCGAAGGCGACACCCUGGACCAGCACUGACACUGAGGCACGAAAGCGUGGGGAGCAAACGGG